GUGAACGCUGGCGGUAGGCCUAACACAUGCAAGUCGCACGGCAGCACAGUAAGCGCUUGCUCUUACGGGUGGCGAGUGGCGGACGGGUGAGGAAUACAUCGGAAUCUACUUUUUCGUGGGGGAUAACGUAGGGAAACUUACGCUAAUACCGCAUACGACCUACGGGUGAAAGCAGGGGAUCUUCGGACCUUGCGCGAUUGAAUGAGCCGAUGUCGGAUUAGCUAGUUGGCGGGGUAAAGGCCCACCAAGGCGACGAUCCGUAGCUGGUCUGAGAGGAUGAUCAGCCACACUGGAACUGAGACACGGUCCAGACUCCUACGGGAGGCAGCAGUGGGGAAUAUUGGACAGUGGGCGCAAGCCUGAUCCAGCCAUACCGCGUGGUGAAGAAGGCCUUCGGGUUGUAAAGCCCUUUUGUUGGGAAAGAAAAGCAGCAGGUUAAUACCCCGCUGUUCUGACGGUACCCAAAGAAUAAGCACCGGCUAACUUCGUG
rnacentral:rRNA from 1 species